AUACGGUUUCGUUCCUUGGCCACGUGAUUUCUCAUCGGGGCAUUGGACCGGACGAUGCUAAGGUCAAGGCUGUCGCCACAUGGCCAGUUCCCGACUCUCACCCGGAUCGCCAGUUCAUUGUCGAGGUCGAUGCAUCCGACGUCGGGGUUAGGCGCAGUCUUGUCCCAACGUGCCAGUCAUGAUUGAAAGGUGCAUCCUUGUGCUUUCUUCUCCCAUCGCCUCAGCCCUGCCGAACGGAACUACGAUAUCGGUAACAAAGAGUUGCUGGCGGUUCGGCUAGCGUUGGUUGAGUGGCGCCACUGGCUGGAAGGAAAUACGCAACCAUUCUUGGUCUGGACGGUCCAUAAGAAUUUGGAGUAUGUCCGUCCAGCCAAGAGGUUGAAUUCACGGCAGGCUCGCUGGGCACUAUUUUUUGGCAGAUGUCACUUCACCCUGUCGUACUGGCCUGGCUCCAAAGACGUCAAACCUGACGCUCUCUCCCGCCUGUUCGAGGCACCCGAGGCACACAAGGCACACGAGGCAGUAUACAAGCACAAUGAACGAGCACAGGACAAUGAGCAUGAGGGUGUUUUAAAGGGGAGACAGACAAAGGAUAAUUAACAAGGAACAGGUGCUGGGGAUUAAGCACUAAUGGGAAAGUUAACAAGGAAACGAGAUGGCGGGAAACACUGACGAGACACGAGAAAGAGCAUGACACGUCAAUAUAUAAACCAAGCUAUGACUUUCUCACACAAAACCCUAAGGCUAUGCCAUGACUCCGCUCCGCUCCAAGAACAAGAAUAAACAUGACAUGAUAGCGGAAUCAUGACAAAAAGAGUUUUAUCGACGUUAACCAAUAGGUCCGAUAAGAAGUCUGCGAACUCUAUCAGAAAAUUAGUGUAAGGCCCAUGGGGUCUAUACACAGUAGUCAAGGUAAGAGAAAGCAAUGUUUUUUUACUUUUGUUUGGAACAAUUAUGUUCAACGCAACCACUUCAAAUGAUUUAAAUGUAUGCUUUGUUCUCUGAGUUACGGUGAGAAAGUCUCCAAAGAUUGUUGCGACACCACCACCUUGACCAACCGGACGUGGCUCGUGCAUAUAACCUAACUUUAGCUUGGUGGAGUAGACUCAUUUAGACCAAAAUAAUAAUUAUGCUUAAGCCAGGCAUAGGAUAUAUCAAGGCAUAGGAUAUCAAAACUGUUGUCUGUUUACAAUAACUGCCUUUGGAUUUUGUGAUCUAAUAUUAAGUAGCCCAAACUUUAGGCGUUGGUUUUGCUCAUUAAAUAUAUUGUCUUUUGGUUUUAUCACGAUAAGGUUUUUUAUCUGACUUUUACAUAAAUUAUUAUUUGGUUGUAUUAUUCGGGGGACAGACACAGUCUCUAUGCAUUUGGAAGCAGUAACAUUCUUAGCAGUUGGGUGAGAGGAACACAGACUAUGGUUAAAGUUUGUACUUGAAUCAGUUGAGUGAAUGACUCACGGCUCAUGGAUCAUGGAAACCUUGUUAUUUACUUCAUUGUAUUUACAUGAACUAGUUAUGUAAUGUUUUAUUAGUCUAGUUCUGUUAGUUUAGUAAGUCUUCGUUCCUGUUGCUGUUCAUGUUCAAAAUAUAUGUUAUGUUGUUUACCCCCUCAUGGGUUUUUGUUUUUUUAUUAAAGUCUUGUUUAACCCCA